ACCAGGGUACCAUGCCCACCUUUCCAUCUUUUGUUCUUGCCCAUCUCCAAUGCUCCAGCUCUACAAGUCGGUUUUAAUAUUUGUUACAGUAAUGGCAGCCCUUAGUCACUCUUUCAAGUCUCUCACAGAGCUGUAGAAGCAAAAAUCAGCAUCCUUACGUCUGUUUUACAAGUGAGCAAAAUGAGCAAAAAAAAAAAUCAGCCAGAGGCAAGAGAAGCCUCUUGGCAUGCACCUCCCUCCAAAAUUGGCCAAAGUUCUCAGGUACCUAGCCUGAAGGGUUGUGCGAACCGAAUCCACAAGUCCCUGUGUCUCUGGAAGAGGCCAAAACAUUUUAGCAAGUAUGCCUGGGAGGAGGAAUGGGUAGCUACUGGGCAUGCACGUAGUUCUGAAUUUGGCCAAACUUCAGGUAGAUACCCCAUACGGGUAUGCUGCUUUUCCAGAACUUGCGCAGGUAACGCAGAAUUUUUCCUAAGUACAAUGUGGUGGAGGCCAAGGUAGCUAGCGGGCAUGUGCCCACGUCCAAAUUAGGCAAAAUUCUCUGUUACCUAGCCUAGAGGGAUCCGAGUUUAGGAUCCACAAAGAACAGAUCCCUCUUGGCGGAAGCCAAAUCUUUUUUUAUGGAAGCAUGCCGAGGUGAGAAGGCAAGGGUAGCUACCAGGCAUACACUUCCCUGAGAACUUGUCCAAAGUUGUGGUGUCCCUGCCCUGAAGGGCUUUUCAGCUGGUCCCCAGAGCUAAAUGUGUCGCAAGAAGAAUCCCAAACAUUUUCCGAAGCUUCCCUGGAGGAGGCAAUGGUAGGUAGCCGGCAUGCAGCUGCCUCCAAAGUAGAGGCCAAAUUGUGAGGGACUUAACACAGAGGGCUCUUCUGCUGGUAUUGACAAACAAUCCUGUAUUUGGAGCUAGCCCAAAAGUUUUGAAAAACAUGAUCAGUGAAGGGAAGUGAAUGUACCCAGGCAGGUACCUCCCUCCAAAAUUGGCCAGAGUUCUCAGGUACCUACCCUGAAGUGAUCUGAGGACAGGAUCCCAAACUAAAUCUGUCUGUGGAGGUAGCCACAAAGUUUUGGCAAACAAGAUCAGCUAGAGGCAAGAGAAGCCUCUUGGCAUGCACCUCCCUCCAAAAUUGGCCCAAGUUCUUGGGUACCUAGCCUGAAGGGUUCUGCGGACUGAAUCCACAAGUCCCUGUGUCUCUGGAAGAGGCCAAAACAUUUUACCAAGUAUGCCUGGGAGGAGGAACGGGUAGCUACUGG